GGGGGAUAUUGCGCAAUUGGGGGAACCCUGGCGCAGCCAAACCGCGUGAGUGAAGAAGGGUUUUGGGGCGUAAAGCGCUGUUAUUGGGGGAGAAAAAAAAACGGUAACCCAGAAGAAAGUUCCGGCUAACCACGUGCCAGCAGCCGCGGUAAUACGUAGGGGACAAGCGUUGUCCGGAUUUACUGGGCGUAAAGGGCACGCAGGCGGUUUUUUAAGUCAGAUGUGAAAGGUACCGGCUCAACCGGUGACAUGCAUUUGAAACUGAAAGACUUGAGUAUUGGAGAGGCAAGUGGAAUUCCUAGUGUAGCGGUGAAAUGCGUAGAUAUUAGGAGGAACACCGGUGGCGAAGGCGGCUUGCUGGACAAAUACUGACGCUGAGGUGCGAAAGCGUGGGGAGCAAACA
rnacentral:rRNA from 1 species